AUUCAGCUGACGAAUCCCAAAUAGGAUGAAACGCACGUCCUAGAU
rnacentral:hammerhead_ribozyme from 1 species